GACCUUUGUCCCACUUACCUCAAGUCCUCUGUGAAUCUUCCCAGUCUCGGGAAACUCCUACUUCAAAUCAUAAGGCAUCAUCUCCCUAGCUCUCACCCUUCCUACCUACCUCCUCCCACACCCUCGUUUUCCUUCCUGCCACUACAGAGGAAAAAGUCACCCUUCUGUUCAGAGCCAGCCCUUCGAUCUGUGUCACUGAUGACUGUUAAACCACCACUCUCCUUUCCACAAGGAACAGACUCACUCCAGUUCCCUCAAGUGAUGGCAUUUUGUUUUAAGAAUGAAUGUGCAAAAGAGGAGACAGGAGUCUCAGCCACUCUGCAGGCCAGGGGUUCACACAAGUGAUGGCUGCUCCUGGUCCCUCCUUUUGUCACGUCACCCCUGGCAAGCUCUUCUUCAGCUGAGAGACUUGGCAAUGAGAAUGAGAUUGAACCCUUCCCUUGGCAAUGAAAGUGUGGAAUCCUAACCAAUGGACUGCCAAGAAACUCCUGAAUUGCUCAUCUUUACAUCUGUCAAGCUCCAAAGCACUGCUAUCAAGAAUUCAAGAUGCUAAGGUCCUUGUGAUUGCAGACAUCGCUGAGCUCACAAAACCUCUUGGUGAUGCCUGGCAGUGUUAUGAGACAGGGCUGCACACCUAAUGAAAGCCCACCGCUAAAUGAAAAUGUGGGAUCAUUUGUUUAAAAAACAGGACAAGAG